rnacentral:misc_RNA from 1 species
GCUCCAUUUAUGAUUAGAUAAACAACAUAAAGAACAUUCCGUUAUUUGUGAAGGUUAAACAAGAGCUAUCCAAUUAACUGUGCUAGUGAGUGCAAAAGAAACCAUUAAACAUCAUGACGCCCUAAUAGAUGAUAUGGAACAAUUAACAAAUUUAAUAUUCCUAAUAGGCAUUUCUCAAGUCACUCCUGAUAGCAAACAGCAAGAAUCAGAAAAGAAUCUAAUUUCAAACCCUAAUUUUCAUAAUGCAAGACCAUUACAGCACAACUAUCCGAGUAGUUCAAAUAUCAGGCAUCAGAAUCCAAA